ACGAACGCUGGCGGCGUGCCUAAUACAUGCAAGUCGAGCGGAAUGAUGAAGAAGCUUGCUUCUUCUGAUUUUAGCGGCGGACGGGUGAGUAACACGUGGGCAACCUACCUUGUAGAUUGGGAUAACUCCGGGAAACCGGGGCUAAUACCGAAUAAUCCAUUUUGCUUCAUGGCGAGAUGUUAAAAGGCGGCUUCGGCUGUCACUACGAGAUGGGCCCGCGGCGCAUUAGCUAGUUGGUAGGGUAAUGGCCUACCAAGGCGACGAUGCGUAGCCGACCUGAGAGGGUGAUCGGCCACACUGGGACUGAGACACGGCCCAGACUCCUACGGGAGGCAGCAGUAGGGAAUCUUCCACAAUGGACGAAAGUCUGAUGGAGCAACGCCGCGUGAGUGAAGAAGGUUUUCGGAUCGUAAAGCUCUGUUGUAAGGGAAGAACACGUACGAGAGUAACUGCUCGUACCUUGACGGUACCUUAUUAGAAAGCCACGGCUAACUACGUG
rnacentral:rRNA from 1 species